rnacentral:sRNA from 1 species
AAAAAGCAAGAGAAACGUGGAAAGU